GUCGAACGAGAAGGCGUAGCAAUACGCUUGUAUAGUGGCGAACGGGUGAGGAAUACGUGGGUGACCUACCCUCGAGUGGGGAAUAACCCGCCGAAAGGCGGGCUAAUGCCGCGUACGCUUCCGUCCUCGCGGGGACGGAAGGAAAGUCAUGCCGUGGGCAUGGCGCUCAAGGAUGGGCUCACGUCCUAUCAGCUAGUUGGUGGGGUAACGGCCUACCAAGGCGACGACGGGUAGCUGGUCUGAGAGGAUGGUCAGCCAGACAGGGACUGAGACACGGCCCUGACUCCUUUGGGGGGCAGCAAUGAGGGAUAUUGCACAAUGGGCGAAAGCCUGAUGCAGCGACGCCGCGUGGGUGACGAAGUCCUUCGGGAUGUAAAGCCCUUUUCUGGGGGAAGAGAACGGACGGUACCCCAGGAAUAAGCCCCGGCUAACUACGUGCCAGCAGCCGCGGUAAUACGUAGGGGGCAAGCGUUGUCCGGAAUUACUGGGCGUAAAGCGCGUGUAGGCGGGACGGUAAGUCGGACGUGAAAGGCUCGGGCUCAACCCGAGAAGGCCGUUCGAAACUGCCGUCCUUGAGGGUCGAAGAGGAGAGUGGAAUUCCUGGUGUAGCGGUGAAAUGCGUAGAGAUCAGGAGGAACACCCGUGGCGAAGGCGGCUCUCUGGUCGGCCUCUGACGCUGAGAUGCGAAAGCGUGGGGAGCGAACGGGAUUAGAUACCCCGGUAGUCCACGCCGUAAACGAUGGUCACUAGGUGUAAGCGGUAUCGACCCCGCUUGUGCCGUAGCUAACGCAAUAAGUGACCCGCCUGGGGAGUACGGCCGCAAGGUUGAAACUCAAAGGAAUUGACGGGGG
rnacentral:rRNA from 1 species